GUGAUGGAAAGGCAGAUGUGCACAGCACUCCGAGGUGCUCUGCUGGGCUCCUGCCUUUAUAGGAAGGCACACCUUCUGCUCAAAGUCAACCUGAAUCAGUGAGAACCCUCGGACAUCAUUCACCUUCAGUCUCAGCCAGACUGUAAGGGUAGAAGGCAGCCACUCAUUGCUACUAAUUACCAUGCAAAGUGGGGAUGAAGAUUAAAUUCUGGUCCAUAGGAUCUCACCCAGCCACGUGGGAUCAUCCAGAGAUGAAAUGGAGCAGAUGAAACAAAGCCCCGAGUAUGCAGUGAAAGCCAGUGCUGUGCAGCCAGCUCCUGUGACAGACACCGUGGACAAAGAAGCCCUACCACUGAUCCCCAGCAGGGUUACAGAUUUCACAGAAGCACGGCCAAAGGCACGGCAACCAGCUACAUCCGUGUCUGGACAGAAGACCUGAAGUGACCACAGGUACUGAAAGACAAAGAACAGCCCUCGUCAGCUGUACAAGCUUUCUAAGCACAGCUCCCACAUACCUCUGAGGCAGAAAGGCUCUCAUUCUUACCCCCAGGCCUACCCGUAGCACAGUCUGCACCUAUUACUUUGUCUAAGAGCUUUUAUUGAGUCUCCUUUCACCCAUAUGCUCUCCUUCAGUGGGAGUGCCUUAAACUCACCAGUUGCUUUUCCAUCCCUUGGGUUAACUACACGAUUACCAAGGGACAGAUGCUAAACUGCACAGGAGCCAAAACCACGGAGGUGCUCUCCAAUGCACCAAUGCAUCACUUCAGAUAAAAGCACAGCUUUUGUGCUUCAAAAGCAGUGAGCACCAGAAACCACACACCUCCCCAGCAAAAGGCUCCAGUCUGCUGUGACAAAAAGGCAGUAUUCUGCCUCGCUGCAGGAAAUCUGCUGUUGAGUUCGCUAUACCAACUACUGGAGUUUGUCAAAAGGGUUAGCACAAAGCAUUUAUAUGUUUAUUUAAAUAAAAAUUAUAAUUUAUACAAGACUUUUUAAACAAACAACAUUUUCUUAAAAAAUGUACAGGGCAAAUCAUUUCAUUAUCUCAAUUUUUCGUACAGUAUAAGUCUUUUGUCAAACAAAAGUUACACUGAUAAUGAGUUAUUUACAACUUCAAAAUAUAGACUCAAACUUCAGACAUAAAAAUUUUAACAUCCAUUAUAUUUCAAUGAUUAGUAGUAGAAAUUAAACAUCUGCCAAAAUGUACAGAAUUCAAUAAAAACUACCAGUGUUUUUCAUACAAGUUUAAGUAGCCAAAAAAAAGUACAUCCUUUCAUCUCCUCAGGAUUGGGUGAAAUCUCCGUUCUUCUUUGCCUGCAGGAACAACAGUGGGGUUUUGCUGCUGGCUUCCCGUGUGAUGCUGCUACUUAGAAAUAGCUUGUUUCAUUCAAUCUUGCCUCACAAAAGCCACAGUGUAUGGAAAGGCAUGAUUUCAUAUUUCAGCUUUUUUUUUUUUUCCUUCUGAAUUGAAACGGUCACCAAUAAGUAACUGAAGUAGUCAGUUUUCAUCUCCCUUUUUUUCUUCCUUUAAAAGGGACUCAAACUAACCAAUGCACUUCUGCUAAAAGAAGUUAAAUCCAACAGCAGCGAACCGCACACAUCAACAGAACUGCAAAUAUAAACAGCAAACAGAAUGACAAGAACAUCACUUUCUGCUAUUAGAAAGUAACACUUCACAUUAAGUGGUACUACCCAGCCUGCUAAUGAAGCAAAGCAGGUUACACUGCAAAGUUACGUAGGACAAGUGGAGUUUAAGGUUAAUUUGAGUGUAAUUGUACAAAUCAAGUAUACAUUUACUCACUGUCCUGCCCCUGCUGCCCUCCAAGCAUACAAGGAUGCAGCAGAGGAACGAGCACAGGAGUACUCAGAAGUAAACACACUGAGGGUACCUUGGAGCAGCAGUGAUGUUCUGUAACGCACAACGCCGUUGCACAGCAGGAACCUGGACAACCUCAUGUAAAGUGAACUUUGCAAAAUAUGUACAUAGACGUCCGCUAUAUUACAGCUCCUACAAAAAUCCAGUCUGUUUUCUACACAUUAGAAUGAAAUGGUGUUGCAUUGCAGUUUGCCCUAGGUUUACUGCUUAAGGAAUUGCUCGUUUUCAAAUUCACACUGUUAAAACGUGCACUGAUUCUGAAUGCCAACACAUCAGAUUUUGUAAAAAGUUUUUUAAUUCCUUUGUCCAGAAAGAAAAUAAAAUUAAGAGCAUAUUGUACAUGAGGCAUUUCAGGCUGGGAGAAAGGAUCGUCAUCUCUUUUCUCCUGCUCUGAAGCCCAGGCGUGUUGAACCACCCUGGCACCACAAGCACAGGACCUACAGCUCCUUCAGGAACCAGAAUCCUGGACAACCCUAUAAACCAGGGUCAACCAGUGAUGGGGGUGUGAGGGAAGUAACAAGUGUCAGUCAACUGAUUUCCUAUUGAAACUGCUGUUAUGAUCAGAGUGAAGGUAUAAAUUACACUUGAAAAAAUGAUACAAAAAUAAGAAAAAGAGCAUGCUCUCUGUAAAAAAUAUAGUUUUCUGUUUCUUCAACAACAAAAAAAAAAAGAACCAAAAACCAAUAGCUUUGAACACACCCAAGGGGUUUCUUCCUUAAGACAAAAUGAAUGAAUCUGGUUAAGAUUUAUAUAACAUUAAGCGAUUUUAAUGCCUAUUAGCCACACUCACUAUUCAGGGAAGCUUCUAGGAAGGAAAGUCAAACGACGAUACAAAACAAUUACAAAAAGAUUGACUGAUUUUAAAGCAGGUUUGAAGAAGAAAAUUAAGUUCAAGGAAUUUAAACAUAAAAUCUGCCUAUGUCAAGCGAAGAAACCACGAACUGCCAAGCUACAUCCAUGUUAGAUGGUGGCAAAAUGGAAUGCCUACCCGGCCUCACUUACACGUUAAGCUUUCAGGUCCUGAUGUACACACAUGGGCAGCAUUAGAAAUGCACCCCUUUUCCUGGUUGCAAAGCUCAAGAGAUCUCCACAAUGACAUCCCAGCCCUUGUGGAUUGUCUCCUGUUUCUGUUCACAGUUCCAUCCAGGGCAUGGUGCUUUACCACAGUCAGUGUUUUACUUCACAACACCCAACCAAAUCACAGUAUUCGACAGUAUUUCUUCAUAUCAGGUGUACUUUAGGUUCUUUGCAUCAUACCUCUUCACAGCCAGACUGAAAUAGUUUUGUACAGUUUAACUGCCUCCUUCAGUACUGCUGCAUUUAAGUUACUUUAAGUAAAAACUGUGCUAAGUGUUAAAGAUCCUUUGGUGUUUGGCUCUGCCACUCCUUCAUUCUAUCUUUUUCCCCAUGUAAAGAAAGAAAAAUCCCUGUUAAAAAAAAAAUCUGUGAAACUAAGUCCUAUUUUUUAUACAAGGAUUUGCAUUUCCAUUACUUUUUUGGGGUCCUCCAUAUAACACCUGGAGACAUCGCACUACUCAACUCAAAAGACACAGAGAAGGAACAGACAAACUGGAAGGCUUAGCGUAACUCCUACUGUGCUUCAAGAAAAAUGCAAAUAGAAUUCUAAACCUCUCAGACGGGUGCUAUUGUAUAGAAUAUAAAAGCUUACUGUACUAAAGUUGAAGGUCAAUAUGUGCUUUGCUACCAGAAAGGCCUGAGAGGGUUUAGAGAAGGAGCACAGCCUUCCUGUUUCACCUGGCAAUUGGGUUUAACUGUUAGUACAAUUUAAUUCCACGAGUGGAAACACAGUGACAUUGCAAUGCCCCUCAAAUGACAUUCUGAGAAGGAAAUAGUGCUUUCAGUUGCUAUCUCGUAGUGUUAUUAUAAGGUAACUCUAGAGAAAAGCCAAAUUAAAAAACGGCCAUGUUGCAGUUUAGUUUAACGACUCCCAGCUCCCCAACACAAAAAGCCCACAAGUCUUUGAUGCAAUAACAUACAAACACCUUGUACAUACAACAUGUACAACAGUUGAGCCCUUCUAUGACAAGUAUCUACAGAAAUACAAAUAUACGAUGCCUAACAUUUUAGGAACAACGUUUUGAUGCCCUCUUUUAUAAAAAGUAUCUGCCUGCCUUCCUUCCUCUUACUUUGGUGAAUCAGGAAAGGAAGAUAUAGCUAGAAACGUUUUCCUCCAAUUCACUGUACAAACAAUUUAGAUCUCUGUACGCAGAAAAAAACUGAUCCUAAGCCAACUGGAAAAUAACAUUCUUCGAUGCAAGGUUUAGCAAGGAGUUAUUUUAAGUGCAGUUACAAAUAUGGAAAUACUAAGAUGGUAAUGCUUCCUUGGUGUCGCCACCAGUUUUAAUAUAGAACCCAAUUAAAAACUUAAAGCUGAAGAAACAGAUUUCAGGAUAUUGCAGUUGUCGUUCUCACAUCUUGGGGAAAAAAUAACUGAGAUAAUGGGGCCAACGUAUCCCCAGUGAUUUAAGUGCAGUUAAAAGGGAUCAGUCUGUUUCAGUCCAUUAUUCAGUCACUUCUCCUAGCGUCUUUCGAGCUACUCAUCUCAGUAAAUAAACAUUAAAAGUGCUUAAUGUACAAGGCUAAUAGUGAUGAUAGCACUUCCACUGUUUUGCUUCAUUUUGGUUGUGUUUUUUUUUUUUGUGGGUUUUUUACAAUUUUUUUUUUUUUUU